ACGAACGCUGGCGGCGUGCCUAAUACCUGCAAGUCGAACGCUUCUUUCCUCCCGAGUGCUUGCACUCAAUUGGAAAGAGGAGUGGCGGACGGGUGAGUAACACGUGGGUAACCUACCCAUCAGAGGGGGAUAACACUUGGAAACAGGUGCUAAUACCGCAUAACAGUUUAUGCCGCAUGGCAUAAGAGUGAAAGGCGCUUUCGGGUGUCGCUGAUGGAUGGACCCGCGGUGCAUUAGCUAGUUGGUGAGGUAACGGCUCACCAAGGCCACGAUGCAUAGCCGACCUGAGAGGGUGAUCGGCCACACUGGGACUGAGACACGGCCCAGACUCCUACGGGGGGCAGCAGUAGGGAAUCUUCGGCAAUGGACGAAAGUCUGACCGAGCAACGCCGCGUGAGUGAAGAAGGUUUUCGGAUCGUAAAACUCUGUUGUUAGAGAAGAACAAGGACGUUAGUAACUGAACGUCCCCUGACGGUAUCUAACCAGAAAGACACGGCUAACUACGUG
rnacentral:rRNA from 1 species